rnacentral:rRNA from 1 species
AUUGAACGCUGGCGGCAUGCCUUACACAUACAAGUCGAACGGCAGCACGGGUGCUUGCACCUGGUGGCGAGUGGCGAACGGGUGAGUAAUACAUCGGAACGUACCUUAUCGUGGGGGAUAACGCAGCGAAAGCUGUGCUAAUACCGCAUACGCCCUGAGGGGGAAAGCGGGGGAUCGCAAGACCCCGCGCGAUUAGAGCGGCCGAUGCCUGAUUAGCUUGUUGGUGGGGUAAAAGCCCACCAAGGCGACGAUCAGUAGCUGGUCUGAGAGGGUGUACGGCCACACUGGAACUUAGACACGGUCCAGACUCCUACGGGAGGCAGCAGUGAGGAAUAUUGCUCAAUGGGCGAAAGCCUGAAGCAGCGACGCCGCGUGGAGGAUGAAGGCCUUCGGGUUGUAAACUUCUGUUAAGUGGGAAGAAAGACGUCCGAGUAAUAUGCGGACGGGAUGACGGUACCACUAGAGAAAGCACUGGCUAAUCUCGUGCCAGCAGCCGCGGUAA